GACGAACGCUGGCGGCGUGCUUAACACAUGCAAGUCGAGCGGUAAGGCCCUUUCGGGGGUACACGAGCGGCGAACGGGUGAGUAACACGUGGGUGACCUGCCCUUAGCUCUGGGAUAAGCCUGGGAAACUGGGUCUAAUACCGGAUAUGACUCCAUGACGCAUGUUGUGGGGUGGAAAGCCUUGUGCGGCUAGGGAUGGGCCUGCGGCCUAUCAGCUUGUUGGUGGGGUGAUGGCCUACCAAGGCGACGACGGGUAGCCGGCCUGAGAGGGCGACCGGCCACACUGGGACUGAGACACGGCCCAGACUCCUACGGGAGGCAGCAGGUGGGGAAUCUUGCGCAAUGGGCGAAAGCCUGACGCAGCGACGCCGC
rnacentral:rRNA from 1 species